rnacentral:misc_RNA from 1 species
CAUCGAACGGUUGGCAUGCAACCCUCCUCAAUAACAUCACGUCCCACUGUGGGCUUGGUGUUCAUUCGCGGUUCCUGUGUUGCGUUCCUAUUUGACGGCAUUCAUGUUGGCUUGCAAAGACCCUUUCCGUCCACGGCCUCUUUUGUGGGGUCGUUGGAGGAUUUCAAAGUAGUGCUUGUGCUCCCGGUUUGUCGUGUAUCCGAACGGCUAAUGCGGCUCACGAGUAUCUAUUGGCCUCUCGGAUGCGGUGCAUGCGGUGAACGCGGGUCGAUUGUCCCGCGGUGUCCCUUUAACUUUUCGGUUGCCUCGAAUGACACUCGCCAUCGAGCUUGUUUUGCUUGCCUCUCGAGCGGGCAACACUCGCACGGUGCGCGCUGUCGUCAAAGGAUGCUACCUGGUUGAUCCUGCCAGUAGUCAUAU